AUUGAACGCUGGCGGCAGGCUUAACACAUGCAAGUCGAGCGAGCGGCGGACGGGUGAGUAAUAUCUGGGAACCUGCCUGAUGGCGGGGGAUAACUACUGGAAACGGUGGCUAAUACCGCAUACCAUCAGAUGUGCCCAGAUGGGAUUAGCUAGUGGGUGGGGUAAUGGCUCACCUAGGCGACGAUCCCUAGCUGGUCUGAGAGGAUGACCAGCCACACGGGGACUGAGACACGGCCCAGACUCCUACGGGAGGCAGCAGUGGGGAAUAUUGCACAAUGGGCGAAAGCCUGAUCCAGCCAUGCCGCGUGUGUGAAGAAGGCCUUCGGGUUGUAAAGUACUUUCAGCGGGGAGGCGGUAUCCGCAGAAUAAGCACCGGCUAACUCCGUGCCAGCAGCCGCGGUAAUAC
rnacentral:rRNA from 1 species